rnacentral:rRNA from 1 species
AGUGAACGCUGGCGGUAGGCCUAACACAUGCAAGUCGAACGGCAGCACAGUAAGAGCUUGCUCUUACGGGUGGCGAGUGGCGGACGGGUGAGGAAUACAUCGGAAUCUACUUUUUCGUGGGGGAUAACGUAGGGAAACUUACGCUAAUACCGCAUACGACCUACGGGUGAAAGCAGGGGAUCUUCGGACCUUGCGCGAUUGAAUGAGCCGAUGUCGGAUUAGCUAGUUGGCGGGGUAAAGGCCCACCAAGGCGACGAUCCGUAGCUGGUCUGAGAGGAUGAUCAGCCACACUGGAACGGGGACACGGUCCAGACUCCUACGGGAGGCAGCAGUGGGGAAUAUUGGACAAUGGGGGCAAGCCUGAUCCAGCCAGACCGCGUGGGUGAAGAGGGCCUUCGGGUUGUAAAGCCCUUUUGUUGGGAAAGAAAAGCAGCAGGGUAAUACCCCGCUGUUCUGACGGUACCCAAAGAAUAAGCACCGGCUAACUUCGUG